rnacentral:rRNA from 1 species
GACGAACGCUGGCGGCGUGCUUAACACAUGCAAGUCGAACGAAGAGCGACGGAAGCUUGCUUCUAUCAAUCUUAGUGGCGAACGGGUGAGUAACGCGUAAUCAACCUGCCCUUCAGAGGGGGACAACAGUUGGAAACGACUGCUAAUACCGCAUACGAUCUAAUCUCGGCAUCGAGGAUGGAUGAAAGGUGGCCUCUACAUGUAAGCUAUCACUGAAGGAGGGGAUUGCGUCUGAUUAGCUAGUUGGAGGGGUAACGGCCCACCAAGGCGAUGAUCAGUAGCCGGUCUGAGAGGAUGAACGGCCACAUUGGGACUGAGACACGGCCCAGACUCCUACGGGAGGCAGCAGUGGGGAAUCUUCCGCAAUGGACGAAAGUCUGACGGAGCAACGCCGCGUGAGUGAUGACGGCCUUCGGGUUGUAAAGCUCUGUUAAUCGGGACGAAAGGCCUUCUUGCGAAUAGUGAGAAGGAU